GCCUGCCUAGCUCAAUCGGCUAGAGCGUCAGACUUUUAACCUAUGGGGUUGAGGUCAUCUGAAGGCUGCGAGUUCGACCCUCGCGGUGGGCU